AACGAACGCUGGCGGCAGGCCUAACACAUGCAAGUCGAACGAAGUCUUCGGACUUAGUGGCGCACGGGUGAGUAACACGUGGGAAUAUACCUUGCGCUGGGGGAUAACAUCGGGAAACUGAUGCUAAUACCGCAUACGCCCUUCGGGGGAAAGAUUUAUCGGCGAAAGAUUAGCCCGCGUCCGAUUAGCUAGUUGGUGAGGUAACGGCUAACCAAGGCUCCGAUCGGUAGCUGGUCUGAGAGGAUGACCAGCCACACUGGGACUGAGACACGGACCAGAAUCCUACGGGAGGCAGCAGUGGGGAAUAUUGGACAAUGGGCGCAAGCCUGAUCCAGCAAUGCCGCGUGAGUGAUGAAGGCCUUAGGGUUGUAAAGCUCUUUCGCACGUGACGAUGAUGACGGUAACGUGAGAAGAAGCCCCGGCUAACUUCGUGCCAGCCGCCGCCGUAA
rnacentral:rRNA from 1 species